AGAGUUUGAUCCUGGCUCAGAUUGAACGCUGGCGGCAGGCUUAACACAUGCAAGUCGAGCGGGGAAGGGUAGCUUGCUACCUAACCUAGCGGCGGACGGGUGAGUAAUGCUUAGGAAUCUGCCUAUUGGUGGGGGACAACAUUCCGAAAGGAAUGCUAAUACCGCAUACGCCCUACGGGGGAAAGCAGGGGAUCUUCGGACCUUGCGCUAAUAGAUGAGCCUAAGUCAGAUUAGCUAGUUGGUGGGGUAAAGGCCUACCAAGGCGACGAUCUGUAGCGGGUCUGAGAGGAUGAUCCGCCACACUGGGACUGAGACACGGCCCAGACUCCUACGGGAGGCAGCAGUGGGGAAUAUUGCGCAAUGGACGAAAGUCUGACGCAGCGACGCCGCGUGAGGGAC
rnacentral:rRNA from 1 species